GAAGUGAGGAAUUGUUUGCUUGAGAAAAUCUGGAUUGGGCUGGAAGUCUGCAUCAAAUAUGGCGACGAAUUCAUAGUCCUGGACAUAGUCACAUCCCAUAGCUGACUUAAGAUUGCCCGCUUUAUAUCCUGUUCUGAUUAAUCUAUGUCUGUAGAUUAUAUUGAUUCCUUUCUGACGCCAGGAAGAAACUUCGUCUUUGAUUAGGAGCUGCACAUUUCCAUCAUCAGA
rnacentral:misc_RNA from 1 species